AACGAACGCUGGCGGCAUGCCUAACACAUGCAAGUCGAACGAGAUCUUCGGGUCUAGUGGCGCACGGGCGCGUAACGCGUGGGAAUCUGCCCUUUGGUUCGGAAUAACAGUUGGAAACGACUGCUAAUACCGGAUGAUGACGAAAGUCCAAAGAUUUAUCGCCAGAGGAUGAGCCCGCGUAGGAUUAGCUAGUUGGUGUGGUAAAGGCGCACCAAGGCGACGAUCCUUAGCUGGUCUGAGAGGAUGAUCAGCCACACUGGGACUGAGACACGGCCCAGUCUCCUACGGGAGGCAGCAGUGGGGAAUGUUGGACAAUGGGAGAAAGCCUGAUCCAGCGAUGCCGCGUGGGUGAUGAAGGCCUUAGGGUUGUAAAGCUCUUUUACCCGGGAUGAUAAUGACAGUACCGGGAGAAUAAGCUCCGGCUAACUCCGUGCCAGCAGCCGCCGUAA
rnacentral:rRNA from 1 species